rnacentral:rRNA from 1 species
GACGAACGCUGGCGGCGUGCUUAACACAUGCAAGUCGAACGCUGAAACAGGAGCUUGCUUCUGCGGAUGAGUGGCGAACGGGUGAGUAACACGUGAGUAACCUGCCCCGAACUCUGGGAUAAGCGCUGGAAACGGUGUCUAAUACUGGAUAUGAGCAAUGGCCGCAUGGGCUGUUGUUGGAAAGAUUUAUUGGUUCGGGAUGGGCUCGCGGCCUAUCAGCUUGAUGGUGGGGUAAUGGCCCACCAUGGCGACGACGGGUAGCCGGCCUGAGAGGGUGACCGGCCACACUGGGACUGAGACACGGCCCAGACUCCUACGGGAGGCAGCAGUGGGGAAUAUUGCACAAUGGGCGAAAGCCUGAUGCAGCAACGCCGCGUGAGGGAUGACGGCCUUCGGGUUGUAAACCUCUUUCGGCCGGGAAGAAAUCGUAUCAGCUAAUACCUGGUGCGGAUGACGGUACCGGAAUAAGAAGCACCGGCUAACUAC